UGUGAGCCGCUGUGCCCAGGCCAAUCCCAGAGAUUUUGAAGAUGAUUUCUCGAUACGAGUUUCACGAAGACUUGAAAAGAAUGUGUCCUCUGUUGUUGGAUGGAGUGUCCUUGAAAUGUUCAUUAGCCUUCUAGCUCCAUUCAGAAGAGCCUCCGAAGUAGAGACCAGAAAUCCUUCUAGUGGGCUGUGCUUUGAGCAGUACUGCUUGUUGACUGCUUUACUUGGAAGGAGAGAUCGACUGAGGUAAGGCUCUUACUAAUGCACGUGCUUUGCUAAUGGUUUGGCCAGAUGAUCAAAAAUGUGGAAGGGGUAAGAUUCAAGGAUUGGUGACAAGGAAGUUUAGAAUAACAGAGAUGUGGAUGGGCCUCCUAGAAUGACCAAAGAAUAUGAGAAUAUUUAUGUUUCAUGUGAACAUUCAUCAAGCUCCUAUUGGUAGUCAGGUAGACAGGUAGACAAGGUGGUCUACUUUGAGGAUGCUGAUUAAUCUCUUCCUCCAGUGACGCAGGGUUUGCUCAGUGGGCUCAUGGACAGAGUGGCCCUGAUGGCUCAGUGGAGGGCUUGGUAUAGGCUUAGCCACAUGGACUCACCAAGACUAACCUGGUUACAGCCGUUGUUGAAUGCCCAACAUUCUACAGCAGAAACCAACCCUGAGCUCCUGACUUGGUGCCAUACCGUGGGGGGACCAACCUGCUGCUUCAGGCCCGGGAAAGAAGUGGACAAGACUCUGCUCUCUUCAUGGAACCGAGUAUUCUAAGGACACAGCCAAGUCAGGAGACUACACCCCUAGUAUAAUAAGUCCUGUGGCUGUACUGAGAAGAGGUCCUGACUCAGAACUGGAGGACAUCAUGGAAGGCUUCCUGGAGGAAGUGCCAUCUAGGCUGAAACCUAAAGGAUGAGUAGAACUAACCAGAUGAAAAGCACUGGAUUUGACUCAUCCCUGCAUCCCCCGAGCACCUCGUGGGUGCCGUAAAGGCAGCUGGGUUGAUGAUGACUGAGUGAAGGAGCGCCUGAGUGGAUGAGCCACUGAGUGAAUGAACUGGAGUUCAUCUUCCACGUGGUCCUCAGCAUCCACUCUAGAAGCCAAAGCCAAGGCACAUGUACGUGUCUUUUCAGCCUGAGGGAUCUAAAGCCUUGGGACUUCUGGAUCUGCAAGUGGUCCCUGUUUUGGUAGCUAUUGACUGACGAGGGGCUCUUCGGUAAGUUCUGGGGUGGCAGUGGAGGUGAUGAUGGGAGGGUGUUACAGGGCUCCACAGGCUCUUACAGGGCUCGGGAGCUUAUUUAAGGGAACACCUUGAUUGUCCAUGUGUCGUGGGCCAGAGAAGAAAGGCAGCACUGUGGAUCUUCUGGGAGGAAAGGAGAGGCGUCGAUUUCUGACUCCAGUUUUCUAUGAUCAGCACAGACUCUGUCCCACCUCCUCCCUACAGAGCUUCUGGAUCCUGGAGGAUGGAGAAUAGGCUAAAUUGCACAGGCCAGCUCCAGUCCAUUGGCAGGGCUGCCUAGAACAUGGCUGUGAUGAUCCCAAAGCUCAAUAGCAGAGAACCCUGUGGGGUGCUAGGAGUGUCUGCCAGGGUGCCGCAGGGAAAGGGGAGCAUGUGUGUAGAUGUAGAAAGCAUCUCUGCCAUCCCCUCCCCUAAAGAAUAUAUAACAUGGCCAUGCAGAAAAACACUUGUGAAAGGAGCUGCUGCCCUCAGGACAGCGUGUCAUUGAAAUGGGGGCUGAGCAACCCGUCAGAAGAGUGGGGAGGAGGGACCAUCCUCCAGCCCCUUCCCAGCUCUCUUCUGGAGCCAUAAGCCACAACACUGUCUAUGAAAAAGCUGAGGCCUAGAGCAGAAGGAGUGCAAAAUCCCAGCUACUGCAGGCCUACGCCCAGUGGUUCUCAAAGUGUUGUCCUCAGUCUAGCAGCAUCAGUGUCACCUGAAAACUGGUUAGACAUCCAGGUUCUCAGUUGUUAUCCAGCUCUAGCAGAUGGGAAACGCUGGGGGCGGGACCAGCCAUCUGUGUUUAACAAGCCCCACAGGUGACUGCUGUAGCCUUGAGUGAGGACCUCGGCCAAAAAGAAGGCUCCUACCGUGGCUGUUUGCUGAUGGUCUUCGCAGAGCCUGCUGUCUUUGAGCUUCCUGAGAGAGGGACACUACCCUCGCUUAGCCUGGCAGUGUUGCCCAGGAGGAGGCAGUGGAGUUAAGAAGCCUGGGUCUGAGCUCCUCAGCUGUGCAGACAACUCCUACUUGUUCUUCAACGCUCAACUUUAAGUUCAGUCACCACCUGCAGAAGUCUUCUCCAAAACCUCCCCACCUGGCUGACUAAGGGGCUGGCUUUAUGCUCUUGCAGUACUCAUGCUUCCUACUGUCACAGUUCUGACCACACCGUGGGAAAACGUCUCUAACUAGAGACCUGUCUUGCCUCUUGUGCCUGUAGUACGGGAUGGGUGCCCAGUGUGUGUUGAUUGUAUGAAUCAAUCUCUGUGACUCCAGAGUUCCUUUCUUCAGGAGAUUAGACAUCACCCCUGCAAUCAACAAUGCAAGCCACUGCUGUUUCCUCCAUCCUGAGCAUGAGGAACCUAUCCAGUUUCUCUCUCAGAUGCCAGGGCCAUGAGGCAAGUCCAGCCUUGGCCUAGAACCAAAGAUGGAAACAAAAAGGGGCCAGACUGUGUUGCCUUCUUGAGCCUGGUCUGACUCCUGAGUGGAAGUCUGAUUCCAGGUACAUGAGAUAAGCACUAAUACCUCCAGUUUGCAGAUUAAGAGACUGAGGUCCUGAAGAGGUUAAAGAACUUGGCUCAAGUCACAUAGCUGGUGAGCAGCAAGAUACAAGAAUCAACCCAAGUCCAGGGGGCUGUGUGCCGUUUACACUUCACAUCUGUGCUGCCAGGGCUGUAGCUAUAAAAGCUUGAAAACCAUUACUCUGAGAAUCUCUCUGUUGGGAAAAUGAGUCCCUUCAACUCUAGUUGUUGCCACUGGGAUGCUAACAGAAAGCAAAGUCUCAGAGGAAAGAUGUGGCAUUCCUGAGUGUCUUCCAUGUACCAGGACUUCUAUUUGCUAGCCACUUUAUGUUCCUCAUCCCAUCCUUCUGUGAGGGACAUACUUUUCAGAUGAGAAACGUAAGCUCCGCGAAGCUAAGGGGCCGGACUGAGGUCCCACAGCGAGAGUGUGGAGGAGCCAGGAUCCGAACCCCAUCGCCAGCCCUUGCCAGUUCCAUGAUUCCGGUGCCAGCGCUCGCCUGACCUCCAGGGCUGUCAUGGUGGGAAGGGACUGGAGGGCAUCUGCUGGGCAAAGGAAAGAGACAAACAUCAUCCCAGAGCCUGUCUUCCCUGGGCAAUACCCGGGCCACUCCAGACAUGGCGUCUUUAGCCCUUCCUUGGUCACUGGCCCCCAGGUGAAGAGAGCAUUUUUCUCUGACUCAAGUUCUUGCCUCUGGAUUUGCCAAGCUCCUAUGACAGUCUUCGCCCUUCUGAAGCUCUCUCAGGCUCCCCUUCCAGAAAUCCCGCAGGUUCCACCGACCUCUCUGAGAGCACAGGCGAGUGGUUGAACGGUGGGCUUUAGAGACGGCGCGGCACCAGAGUCCUGUACUGGCUGUGUGAUCCUGAACCUCCUCACUGAGAUUCUCAUCUGCAAGAUGGAGA
rnacentral:lncRNA from 1 species